CACACACACACACACACACACACACACACACACACACACACACACACACACACACACACACACACACACACACACACACACACACACACACACACACACACACACACACACACACACACACACACACACACACACACACACCACCACCCCCCACCCACCAGUCUUGUGUCCUUGUCCAUCAGUUGGUUCCAUGGGUUGGUGCCAGGAAGAUAUUCACGACAUUUGGCCACAUUUAGCUUAGCAUCAUUCUCAUGUAAAUUGCUCAGGUCAAACACUGCACGAUUAAAAAGACCCCUUAAAAAAGAAAUAGAAUUGAAUCUUUGCUAAAGAUUGUGUUCAGCUGUCGCUAUUUAAUGAGGCCUAUAUUUAUUAGUGCCUUGUCUUUGUGGAUGAUGCUACAUAGAAUAUUUGAGUUUUAGUCAACCCGUGUGGUACAGGAAUAUGUACUGUUCAAUGCUGCUUUGUUUAACCUUUAUUUAACCAUGGUUGCUCCUCAUUGAGCUGAAACCACUCUUUCACAAGAGAGAACUAGACAGAAAUCUGAGUAAGAACACUUAAUACUGCAUAGCACUCGUUCUGUAUUUACUGUAUUUACGUCAGAAUGACGUAAAUACGUCAUUCUGACGUAUUUAUUCUAGCGCAGUAGCCUAAAAACGGUUGACUCAAAUGCAAGCCCCUCACUGAAUGUUAUCGUUUUGUUCUGCAACGGUCUACACAAAAUGCAAAAAAUAAUAAUAAUUAAGGGAAAUUAAUGUCUGAAUAGAUCAAGCUUUGGAUCUCCAGACUCUGGCUUCAACACAGCUCAGAGAUGUAUGAAAGGGUACAAUUUGUUAAUUUCAUUGGUGUCUGAGAUGCAGAGUAUCAAUCACAUUUUGAACAAGAAGAUAAAUGCUAUGACUAAGAUUGAAAAACAAUUCUCUUGGAGAAAUCUGGACACACUAGUGUUACUAGUGUUAUUAGUGAUACUACGACUGAUAAUUCCAAUGAUCUGAUUAAGUGAAAAAAAACGGAUUUAUGGUGAAGUGAGAGAAAGAUAAGAAAUGUAUUGCAUUUUUUUAUUUAGUAGGUUUUCUUCUCUACUCAAUGAAGUCAUAUAUCUGUCGGCCCAUCUCUGUCGAUUUCUGUAUGCAUUUGUCAGUUGAAAUUGGGAGUUAAACAAAACAACUCAAUAACAGUAAAAUAAAAAAAGUUAUACCUGUGAAAUCAACAGAAGUUGACCUCUACCUAAAAUGUUCUUGUUGACAGAUAGCAACAGACAAUUUAAGGAAGUAAGGAGGAUUUGAUUUUUUUUUUAUGUUGCAAAAUAUGCAGCUUUCAAACAAUGGAUUAUACAACAAUAUCGGGCGGCCUAAAGUCCAUUUUAGUAUAAUUAUACUCUUGUACUGUACUUUUCCACUUUCCUUCUAUAUUCAAAUGGGCAGGAUGAUCCAUUUCUAUAGAUCUUAAACACACUCUUUUGCAGAGAUCGGACUGACGCUCAUGAAAUGUAAAUUCACAUGUUUAAAGGUGCAAAAAUAAGACAAAACAUUGUUGUGUAUGGAUACCGUAAUGUCCUCUUCUGUAGUGGUUAUGCAAAUAUUGUUAUGCUGUGUGUGUGUGUGUGUGUGUGUGUGUGUGUGUGUGUGUGUGUGUGUGUGUGUGUGUGUGUGUGUGUGUGUGUGUGUGUGUGUGUGUGUGUGUGUGUGUGUGUGUGUGUGUGUGUGUGUGUCUUCCUUCCUCUGUGUAUUUGCCUGGAGAAUAGAGUUAUACCAUGACCUAGCGAAGUCUGUAUCUGUGCUGUUUAACUUAUUCUGCUUGUGUGUGUGUGUUUGUGUGUGUGUGUGUGUGUGUGUUCUAAAACGGAGCUGGUCUCCUAGCCAAGUGUGCUAGAAGUUUAUGUGUGUGUGUGUGUGUGUGUGUGUGUGUGUGUGUGUGUGUGUGUGUGUGUGUGUGUGUGUGUGUGUGUGUGUGUGUGUGUGUGUGUGUGUGUGUGUGUAACUCCCAUGUUUUACCUAUGCAGCCUCCCCUCCCCCCCACACACUUCUUUCCCAGGCUGGCUCCUCUGGUAUAAGUUCUGAUAUUGAGUGUAUAUGUGUGUAUGUACUUCUUUUACAUCUUCCCCAUAUCCAUAUCCCCUCCCCCGUCCUGCUCUGUGACAUCAUCGCUACUUCUACACAUAUUAAAUAAAUGUUCCUGGUGCGUUACAA